rnacentral:rRNA from 1 species
UGAUGCAGCCAUGCCGCGUGUGUGAAGAAGGCCUUCGGGUUGUAAAGCACUUUCAGUCGUGAGGAAGGGGUAGUAAUUAAUACUUACUAUCUUUGACGUUAGCGACAGAAGAAGGACCGGCUAACUCCGUGCCAGCAGCCGCGGUAAUACGGAGGGUCCGAGCGUUAAUCGGAAUUACUGGGCGUAAAGCGUACGCAGGCGGCUUGUUAAGCCAGAUGUGAAAUCCCCGGGCUCAACCUGGGAAUGGCAUUUGGAACUGGCAAGCUAGAGUUUUGUAGAGGGUGGUAGAAUUUCAGGUGUAGCGGUGAAAUGCGUAGAGAUCUGAAGGAAUACCAGUGGCGAAGGCGGCCACCUGGACAAAAACUGACGCUCAUGUACGAAAGCGUGGGGAGCAAACAGGAUUAGAUACCCUGGUAGUCCACGCCGUAAACGAUGUCUACUAGUUGUCUGUGAGUUUAACUCGUGGGUAACGCAGCUAACGCAUUAAGUAGACCGCCUGGGGAGUACGGCCGCAAGGUUAAAACUCAAAUGAAUUGACGGGGGCCCGCACAAGCGGUGGAGCAUGUGGUUUAAUUCGAUGCAACGCGAAGAACCUUACCUGCCCUUGACAUACUGAGA